rnacentral:rRNA from 1 species
CGGGAGGCAGCAGUGGGGAAUAUUGCACAAUGGGGGAAACCCUGAUGCAGCCAUGCCGCGUGUGUGAAGAAGGCCUUCGGGUUGUAAAGCACUUUCAGUAGGGAGGAAGGUAGUGUAGUUAACACCUGCAUUAUUUGACGUUACCUACAGAAGAAGCACCGGCUAACUCCGUGCCAGCAGCCGCGGUAAUACGGAGGGUGCGAGCGUUAAUCGGAAUACCAGUGGCGAAGGCGGCCCCCUGGACAAAGACUGACGCUCAGAUGCGAAAGCGUGGGGAGCAAACAGGAUUAGAUACCCUGGUAG